GACGAACGCUGGCGGCGUGCCUAAUACAUGCAAGUCGAGCGGGGAUUAUGCUUGAUCGCUUCGGUGAGACGGCAUAUAUCCUAGCGGCGGACGGGUGAGUAACGCGUGGGUAAUCUACCUCGUAGUUCGGGAUAACAGGCCGAAAGGCUUGCUAAUACCGGAUGAGUUCAUGCUUAUGCAUAUAGGCAUGAAGAAAGGGCUAGCCCGCUAUGAGAUGAGCCCGCGUCCCAUUAGCUUGUUGGUGGGGUAACGGCCUACCAAGGCAACGAUGGGUAGCCGGCCUGAGAGGGUGUACGGCCACACUGGGACUGAGACACGGCCCAGACUCCUACGGGGGCAGCAGUAGGGAAUUUCGGCAAUGGGCGAAAGCCUGACCGAGCGACGCCGCGUGAGGGACGAAGGCCUUCGGGUUGUAAACCUCUGUCUGGGGGGAUGAGAACGGACGGUACCCCGGAGGAAGCCCCGGCUAACUACGUG
rnacentral:rRNA from 1 species